GUGCCAGCAGCCGCGGUAAUACGUAGGUGGCAAGCGUUAUCCGGAAUUAUUGGGCGUAAAGCGCGCGUAGGCGGUUUUUUAAGUCUGAUGUGAAAGCCCACGGCUCAACCGUGGAGGGUCAUUGGAAACUGGAAAACUUGAGUGCAGAAGAGGAAAGUGGAAUUCCAUGUGUAGCGGUGAAAUGCGCAGAGAUAUGGAGGAACACCAGUGGCGAAGGCGACUUUCNUGGUCUGUAACUGACGCUGAUGUGCGAAAGCGUGGGGAUCAAACAGGAUUAGA
rnacentral:rRNA from 1 species